rnacentral:RNase_P_RNA from 1 species
UCAGUCGGUCGGGCAGCCGCGCUUGUCAUAUGCCGAAAGGCGGCAGGUGAGGAAAGUCCGGGCUCCAUGGAAACACGAUGCCGGGUAACGCCCGGCGGGGGCGACCCCAGGGACAGUGCCACAGAGAGUAGACCGCCCCGUCUUCCGUACCGCUUGGUCAAGCGGCAGGGAUGACGGGGUAAGGGUGAAAGGGUGGGGUAAGAGCCCACCGCGCCGGUGGCAACACAGGCGGCACGGUAAA